CCUUCCAAGCUUUGUCACACAACACCUCCCUUUGGAGACUGUGCCUGGGGCUGGGGACGGUGCAGUGCAAAGACCUCAAGGGUGGGGGACCGUGCAGUGCAAAGGCCUGGGGCAGGGGACUCAGCUGUGCCAAGGCCUGGGGCUGGGGACAGGGCGUGCAAAGGCCUGGGGCAGGGACUCAGCUGUGCAAAGGCCUGGGGCAGGGAUUCAGCUGUGCGAAGGCCGAGGUCAAGGCAGGGCCUGGCUGUGAGGAGCAGGGAGGAGGCCUGUGUGACUAGAGUAGAAGGCAGGAGGUGCGGGGAGGAGACAGCGUCAUGGGCUUCAAAGAAAAUGUCACUAGCCUUCCAUCUGAAGGAGCCAUGGAGGCUUUUGGGUAGAGGAUGCGAGUUGACUCGGUGGUCACCGGAAGCAGACGAUGGUAUAGAUGUUCUGUGCUCCCUGUGUUGAAGGAAGUGGGUCGUGGGCCCCUCCUGAGGGUGAGUGGGGCGGCAGCUCCUCGAGCUCCAGGCCGAAUGGAUGAGUAAGUCACUGCAGGCGACAGUGGCGCUGAGGUAUACACCAGGGGGUGACUCAGUGCCGCCCUUGGCUGCGGUGACUAGGCCUGAGUCAAAUGCAUCCUGUGAUGUUGCUAUCCCAACCUCAGCCGCUCUUCAUUCUAGACCCUCCCCAAGCCUUCCAGGUACAGCCCUGUCUUAGCCUGACCCCCAAAUCCCACUCUGGAGCCGGGAUACGUCUUGGGUGUGGUCACUUGUUUGCCCGGAACCCUCCAUGGCUCCCUAUUUCCCACAGAGCCGACUGUCCUCACGAUGGAGUCCAGGCUGUGUGUGGACAUGCUAGGUUCUGGCUUCCCUCCCUGGGCACCAGCCACUGUCAUUUGUCUGCGCAGUGACUUCCAACUUGUCACCAAGCCCAACCCUGCAAGCCCCAGCCUCCAGCAAGCCUGUGCAAAGCUCUGCUCUCUGGUCGCUGCGCCUGUCCCCACCGGUCACCUGUCUCUGAGACCACCCCAGCAGCUCCCCAGCACACAGCACACUCCUUCCUUUGUGUACAUCCUGACUUGUCUUCUAAAAGUCCGACCCCAGGGACUCUCGUCCAGACAAAUUCCUGUGCACCCUCCACUCAGCGCCCCACCCUCUGUCACGCCAGCUCCACAUGCUGGCUGGCAGCCAUCGUCCUUCAUUUUGGAGGCAGCUGGAGCUUGCUGAUUGGUCUGACUAACAGCGAGUCUUGUGUUCUCUCUGUCCAUUCGGUGCCCUGAAGCCCCAGAGGUCAUUGCACCGCCUGCCUGAAACCAUUUUCCAGUUGGGGUAAUAAAGUGCCCUCCUCAGUAGUUGAAAACUAAGCCUGUCCCAGGAGCCAGAGUGGCCCAUGUGGGCGUCGGAGCACAGGGGUCCCCACUUCUCCCACAUCGUGUGACAGGCUACCGUAGCCUCAGAGGCUACAGUAGGGCCAGACCAGGUCUGCGACUCCCCAUGUGUGAUGGACCCGGGCUGUUAAUCUAGGCGUGAUGUACAAGUGACAGUCUACUGGGUUCUGUCCUGAACUUGGGGCCAGUGUGACAAGUGUCAGGGUCUUCCUUCCCGCCCCUGUUGGAGGACAAACGGGUGCUUCCGCGUGUCUCUAAGAAAGCAGCACCAGCAUCUGCUCCGCUGUCCUGGAGCCAUGAACUUGGCACUGCCAUCCAUGGAGGGUCGAGUUUAUGGAAAAAAAUCAAUUUUUUGUGCCGUCUGGUGUUCUCCCUGACCUGUCUGGCCUUGGUAUUUGUUUAGUGUCUUGGUUCCGUUAACAAGCACUACCACUGCCAUCACCACCACCAAAUCACCAUCAUCACCAAAUCACCACCAUCACCAUCAUCAUUACCAAACCACCACAGUCACCACCACCACCAUCAUCAUCACCACCAUCAUCAUCACCACCAUCAUCACCAACAUCAUGACUAUCAUCUCAACCUUUCCAGUCUCCCCAGCAUUCACUGCGCCUGGGACACUGCUCAGAGUGGAUCUUAGAUACAGCUGACCAGCCCUGGCCUUUGUCCUUCAGGAUCUCCUACGGUCCUUGCUCCCAUUCCACUGACACACAGACUGAUGCUCAGAGAAGGGACACAGCUGUCCCAUGGCCAGUCGCAGGUGUUACAUCUGCCCGGUGUGAACCAAAGCACGUGGAGGAUGCUGAGGACAGCGGACAGCUAGUGGGUUUGCUGCUUGUCCCGAGGAAGGAGAGUGGAGCCCCUCUUGGGAACCGGGGCUGGAACUUAAUGUGGACACCCCAAAAGGUCAGGGCCGCAGAUAGACUGGAAGGCCCAGGUUAAAGGCUGGAGAUUAGCAGUAAAUAAAGGAGGAGGAUGGAGAGGAAGACAAGGAGGAGGAAGAGGAGGAAGAAGUGUGGAGGCUGUACUUCCUUCCACCCGCAGUGAUCCUCAACAAGGUCACUGCAGCCCAGGACAGCAGUCACAGGCGCCUCACCAGCCAGGACUCUUGAACGCUUGGACCACAUCUGAACUGUCAUUCAUUUAUUCCUUUACACUCUGGGGACUAUGUAGUCCAGACUGGCUUUGAGCGGUUGAUCCUCCUGCCACCACCUCCCAAGCGCAGAGAUGAUCAGUGUGCACUCUGGAAGGGACGGUCCAAGUGCGUGUGACAACAGAGAAAAAGAAAAGAAAAUGGUAAGAUUCCAACCUAUAUUCCGGCCAUGCUGGCACUCAAGAGGCUGAGGCAGGAGGAUGGUAAGUUCCAGAGAAACAUGGGCACAGUGACCCACUGUUUCCCAAGAGCAAGAGCUGUGGACAGGGCUCGGUGGCCUAGAACCUGCCUGGUGUGCCCAGGAGGAGAACGCAGAGAACAAAAGCUUAGCGCAGUUGCAAUCCCAUGACCCAGGACAAACAGAGCUCACCCUCUGACCCUUCAUCUCUUCCUUCUGGAAACUGACCAUCUCCUGACCCCAUGACUGUUGCUUCCAUCCCUGGAGGGUCAAAGGAAGUUAAGCCCAGUUCUGGGGCAGUGACAUUUGUAAAACACAAAGUUUAAGUGUUUUCAGUACAGAAGGGGGAGCAUUUUGAUUUAUAGUCAUUGGAAGAAGCCUUGGUGGCAGGGGCUGCAUGGCUUCACCGGGGCCUAUCAGCACCAGGUGGGUCGCGGGCCCCAGGUAGGUUAAGCAAAUGCAUCACUUUAAUAGUCUGUGGAGGCGGCUGGAGCCAUUAGUGAAAGGGGAGGAUAAAUAUCACUUGAAGCAGCUCUGGAAUCGCCGGUUUUAUCACCCAAAAUUGUCCCUGUGCUAUUUACUUUCAAUUUAGAUUUUCGGGAAAAUGGCUCUGGGUACAGUUAUGUAUGAAGAAGUGGAACCAGAAUGGAAAAAUGACCCGAUUUCACCAUCCAAGACCCAAACGAGCCUCGUGGCUGCUUUUGAGUCAUCGUUCCUGUAUUUAGUGGGCACCUGGGCGCUGGGCAUGGAGGCUGGAAGAGCUGCUUGACAUCCUACGGCCACAGUAGGCUUCCUAGUCGGGAAACUGAGGCUCAGAGAGAGGUCCUUGUGGUCAAUGUAGCUCUGUUUCACAGCCUGAUCUUAUUCAAGAGCUUCUACGGCCUCGUGGUCUGCGGGAGAAGCCUCCUACGGUUACACUUCACACCAGGAUGUGUUGAGGGUAUGCCUGCCAUCCCAGUACUUGGGACUGAGGCAGGAGGAUGACGAGCUCCAGGCCAGUAUUGACUGUGUGGUGGGAUCCGAGGUCAAAACUAAAAGCAAAUAUAAACGGAGAAGUAAACAGAAAAACAAGAACCGAGAAGUGACCCCAUGAGUAAGGGUGUGUGGCAGUGAGCAGGAAGCCCAAGUUUGGUCUCUGGGGUGAACAUGGUGGAAAGACAAAACACCCUAUGAAGAUGAGCCAAGAGUACAGGCUCACAAGCCACACCUGCAACCAGGAGAAGCCUGGAAAAGGUUAGGGGACAUUAGAAACACAUGCAGAACGACAGAGUCAAGCCACAUCUGUGACCAUGUGGGAAUGGCCAGUUGUUGAUGGAAUAGAGACCACAGGAGGGAUCGCUAUGCCCCUGUCAAAAAGGAAAAAUAGGGCAAAUAGAAAUCCUGGCAAGGAGGAAGAAAGAUUGUUCAGAAACUGCUUAGGAGACAACAUCCACAGGACAGGGGUGUGCACAGUUACAGGUGGGGCUGCAGGCUCGCUGUCAUCACAGGGUUGGGCAAACUCAGACCCCAGCCUACCCCCAGCCCCUUACCAUGGGAUCUCAGACAACAGGAUAACCAGUUUCAUGAGAGAGGUUUAUCUUGUCUGGAUAGGUUGGACUCAAAUUUCUGCAUUUGCUUUCUGCGUGCCGGGUUGCAAGUGUGUACACCUGUGUCUGCUAGCUUGCACAAGGCCAGGAAUAUCGGCUUUUUUUUCUGUUAAAUUUGCUACUGUAUCUCCCAGCCUGGUGCCAACUGGGUGCUCACAGGUCUCUGUCAGCUUUCCAUUGCUGUGACAAAAUUCUUGAUGUAAUCAGUUUAGAAAGAGGGAGUUUAUCUCAGUUAACAGUCUUAGAGGUUCUAGUUCAUGUCAGUCGAUCACAUUGCUUUGGGUGUGGAAAGAGGCCAUGAGUCAUUACAGAAGAAUGUAAUGGGCAGAGCUGUUUACUUCAUGAGAGUCAGGACAUGGCAGGGUGAGUGGGGAGAGAAAAAGAAAUAAAGACAGAAGGACAGACAAGAAGAAUGGAGAGGAGAGAAGAUAUGAAACAAGAAUGGGAUUCUACAACCCCUUCAAGAGCAGUGACCUUACCUCCUUACAAGAAUGCCAUAGGCUGGACACCAAGAUGUCAACAUCUGUGCCCUUGGGGCAUUUUCAACCACAGUACUGUGUCAGGACCCAGUGCAACAGAUUCCAUCCCCUACCCUCAGUUCCUUCUAUCCUAUGGCUUGGCCUUUCAGGGCACAGGAGGUUGCCUAUGUCAGCAGAUGUAUGCUGUUAACAAUCCCUUGUUGGCUGAGCCAAGGCAGAGAUGUCAGCUGGAUCUGAGUUUCCCAGACAAGCAUGAGGCUGUGGGUUCCUGCCCUAGAAUAAAGUGUCCCAGAGAUCA